rnacentral:rRNA from 1 species
ACGCUGGCGGCGUGCCUAAUACAUGCAAGUCGAACGAGAGCGACCGGUGCUUGCAUUGGUCAAUCUAGUGGCGAACGGGUGAGUAACACGUGGGUAACCUGCCCAUCAGAGGGGGAUAACAUCCGGAAACGGAUGCUAAAACCGCAUAGGUCUUCGAACCGCAUGGUUUGAAGAGGAAAAGAGGCGCAAGCUUCUGCUGAUGGAUGGACCCGCGGUGCAUUAGCUAGUUGGUGAGGUAACGGCUCACCAAGGCCGUGAUGCAUAGCCGACCUGAGAGGGUGAUCGGCCACAUUGGGACUGAGACACGGCCCAAACUCCUACGGGAGGCAGCAUUAGGGAAUCUUCCGCAAUGGACGCAAGUCUGACGGAGCAACGCCGCGUGAGUGAAGAAGGUUUUCGGAUCGUAAAACUCUGUUGUUAGAGAAGAACAAGUGCUAGAGUAACUGUUAGCGCCUUGACGGUAUCUAACCAGAAAGCCACGGCUAACUACGUGCCAGCAGCCGCGGUAAUACGUAGGUGGCAAGCGUUGUCCGGAUUUAUUGGGCGUAAAGCGAGCGCAGGCGGUUCCUUAAGUCUGAUGUGAAAGCCCCCGGCUCAACCGGGGAGGGUCAUUGGAAACUGGGGAACUUGAGUGCAGAAGAGGAGAGUGGAAUUCCAUGUGUAGCGGUGAAAUGCGUAGAUAUAUGGAGGAACACCAGUGGCGAAGGCGACUCUCUGGUCUGUAACAGACGCUGAGGCUCGAAAGCGUGGGUAGCAAACAGGAUUAGAUACCCUGGUAGUCCACGCCGUAAACGAUGAGUGCUAAGUGUUGGAGGGUUUCCGCCCUUCAGUGCUGCAGUUAACGCAUUAAGCACUCCGCCUGGGGAGUACGACCGCAAGGUUGAAACUCAAAGGAAUUGACGGGGACCCGCA